GAUGAACGCUGGCGGCGUGCCUAAUACAUGCAAGUCGAGCGAACGGACGAGAAGCUUGCUUCUCUGAUGUUAGCGGCGGACGGGUGAGUAACACGUGGAUAACCUACCUAUAAGACUGGGAUAACUUCGGGAAACCGGAGCUAAUACCGGAUAAUAUUUUGAACCGCAUGGUUCAAAAGUGAAAGACGGUCUUGCUGUCACUUAUAGAUGGAUCCGCGCUGCAUUAGCUAGUUGGUAAGGUAACGGCUUACCAAGGCAACGAUGCAUAGCCGACCUGAGAGGGUGAUCGGCCACACUGGAACUGAGACACGGUCCAGACUCCUACGGGAGGCCGCAGUAGGGAAUCUUCCGCAAUGGGCGAAAGCCUGACGGAGCAACGCCGCGUGAGUGAUGAAGGUCUUCGGAUCGUAAAGCUCUGUUAUUAGGGAAGAACAUAUGUGUAAGUAACUGUGCACAUCUUGACGGUACCUAAUCAGAAAGCCACGGCUAACUACGUG
rnacentral:rRNA from 1 species